rnacentral:rRNA from 1 species
UACGAGGGGGGCGAGCGUUGUUCGGAAUUAUUGGGCGUAAAGGGUGCGUAGGCGGCCUGACAAGUCUGAUGUGAAAUCCCUGGGCUCAACCCAGGGCCUGCAUCGGAAACUGUCGGGCUUGAGUAUGGGAGAGGUGAGUGGAAUUUCCGGUGUAGCGGUGAAAUGCGUAGAUAUCGGAAGGAACACCUGAGGCGAAAGCGGCUCACUGGACCGUUACUGACGCUGAUGCGCGAAAGCUAGGGGAGCAAACAGG